GACGAACGCUGGCGGCGCGCCUAACACAUGCAAGUCGAACGGAGCUGAGAGAAGCUUGCUUUUCUUAGCUUAGUGGCGAACGGGUGAGUAACGCGUGAGUAACCUGCCCUGGAGUGGGGGACAACAGUUGGAAACGACUGCUAAUACCGCAUAAGCCCACGAUCCGGCAUCGGAUUGAGGGAAAAGGAUUUAUUCGCUUCAGGAUGGACUCGCGUCCAAUUAGCUAGUUGGUGAGGUAACGGCCCACCAAGGCGACGAUUGGUAGCCGGACUGAGAGGUUGAACGGCCACAUUGGGACUGAGACACGGACCAGACUCCUACGGGAGGCAGCAGUGGGGGAUAUUGCACAAUGGGGGAAACCCUGAUGCAGCGACGCCGCGUGGAGGAAGAAGGUUUUCGGAUUGUAAACUCCUGUCGUUAGGGACGAUAAUGACGGUACCUAACAAGAAAGCACCGGCUAACUACGUG
rnacentral:rRNA from 1 species